GGAUCCCGGCCCUGCUCCUGUAACUGCCGAGGGUUUGAAUUUAAAUCCAGGGAACCAAUUGGCUGGGAUGGAAAUGGUCAGUGAAAAUGCAAAUGACCUGGCUGGCAGGGGGGAGGGGCUGCUGGACUCAGGAUACCUGCCUACCUGUAACCAGCCCCCUGAGACUGAGGGGGAGGGAGAGAUGCUCCCCGCCCCCCUGCACACCGGAGAGGGGGCUCACGCUGGCUCUGAUGCUGAGACCAGAGCAGAGAGCUCGCUGCCUGCCCCCACUGGGACAGCCAGGGCAGCGCUGAGCACGGGGGGAGCUGAGACCCCAGCUGAGUGGGGGGACACCCAGGCAAGGCAGGUCAGCUGCCAACCAGGUUUGCCUGGUCCAGACGUGCUGCUGGGAAAUGAUUACACAGCAGGGAGGGAGCUACCAGGGACAAGGCUCAGAGGGGCUGUGACCCCAGGCCCAGCCAGUGAGAGGGAGCAGGUCCCACUCCCUGCCCCAGCAGCUGAAUCCCAGACCGAGCUGCAGAGAGAUCCCUCCUUGGAGAAGCUGAGGGAACUUGCUGGCCACAGCGCUGCAAACCCCCUUGGGGAAGGCUGCAGGGACAGAGUCCUGCGGGAGAAGGGAUUCCUGUACCGGGAAUGGGCUCCCCAAGGGGAAGUAGAACUGAGGGGAAUCAGGAGGCAGCUGGUGGUGCCCCAGGAAUCCACAGGGUUCUUCCCUCUCAAGCUGCUGGAUGGGAGGAGAGUGAGGGGACCCCUGGACCGGAAAGGGGAGGAUUGGGAGGAGAAGGGGAAAGACCCCCUGGUGGAUCUCUUCCCUGAGGUGGGAGCCAAUCUCCCCAUCAGGUGUUCCCCAUUCAGAGUCACUGGGAAAGCAACCCAGAUCCUGGAGAGAGAGGUCAAGGACAUGCUGGCUUUAGAUGGGAUCCAGCCGUUUUACAGCCCAUGGGCCUCAUCCGUGGGGCUGAUCCCCAAGGGAGACAGGAUGGUCUGGUUUUAUGGGGGCUAUCAGAAGCUUAAAGCCAUCACAGU
rnacentral:lncRNA from 1 species